CCUCUACAGCUGGCACAGAUGGCGCUGUCCCAGGCUGUUCCCAUCUCAGCCACGGAGCUUCUCCUGGUGUCUGCUGUCUUCUGCCUGGUAUUCUGGGUGGUCAGGGCCUCAAGGCCUCGGGUCCCCAAGGGUCUGAAGAGCCCACCCGGGCCAUGGGGCUGGCCCCUGAUUGGGCACGUGCUGACCCUGGGGAAGAACCCGCACCUGGCACUGGCCAGGAUGAGCCAGCAGUACGGGGACGUGCUGCAGAUCCGCAUUGGCUCCACGCCUGUGCUGGUGCUGAGCGGCCUGGACACCAUCCGGCAGGCCCUGGUGCGGCAGGGUGGCCACUUCAAGGGCCGGCCCGACUUCUACAGCUUCACCCUGGUCACUGAUGGCCAGAGCAUGACCUUCAGCCCAGACUCCGGACCGGUGUGGGCUGCCCGCCGGCGCCUGGCCCACAAUGCCCUCAAAGCCUUCUCCAUCGCCUCCGACCCGUCUUCCUCGUUCUCCUGCUACCUGGAGGAGCAUGUGAGCAAAGAGGCUGAAGCCCUAAUCAGCAAGUUGCAGGAGCUGAUGGCAGGGGCUGGGCACUUUGACCCCUACAGCCAGGUGGUGGCACCAGUGGCCAAUGUCAUCGGUGCCAUGUGCUUCAGGCAGCACUUCCCCCAGGGCAGUGAGGAGAUGCUGAGCAUCCUGAGGAACAGCCAUGAGUUUGUGGAGUCCGCCACCUCUGGGAACCCCGUGGACUUCUUCCCCACCCUUCGCUACCUGCCCAACCCCACCCUGCAGAGGUUCAAAGACUUCAACCAGAGGUUCCUGCAGUUUCUGCAGAAAACAGUCUGGGAGCACUAUCAGGACUUUGACAAGAACAGUGUCCAAGACAUCACGGGUGCCCUGUUCAAGCAUAGAGAGAUGGGCUCCAGAGCCAGCGGUGACCUUAUUCCCCAGGAGAAGAUUAUCAGCAUUAUCAAUGACUUAUUUGGAGCAGGGUUUGACACGAUCACAACUGCCAUCUCCUGGAGCCUUAUGUACCUUGUGACCAAGCCUGAGAUACAUAGAAAGAUCAGAAGGAGUUGGAUGCGGUGAUCGGCAGGGCGCGGCGGCCCCGGCUGUCUGACAGGCCCCAGCUGCCCUACAUGGAGGCCUUCAUCCUGGAGACCUUCCGACACUCCUUCGUCCCUUUCACCAUCCCCCACUGCACAACAAGGGACACGGCACUGAAUGGCUUGUACAUUCCCAAAGGGUGCCAUGUCUUCAUAAACCAGUGGCAGGUCAACCACGACC